rnacentral:rRNA from 1 species
AGAAUCAACGCUGGCGACGUGCCUAACACAUGCAAGUCGCACGAGAAAGUGGAGCAAUCCACGAGUAAAGUGGCGCACGGGUGAGUAACACGUGAAUAAUCUACCUCCGAGUGGGGAAUAACUGAGAGAAAUCUUAGCUAAUACCGCAUAAUACCCACGGGUCAAAGCAGCAAUGCGCUUGGAGAGGAGUUCGCGGCCGAUUAGCUAGUUGGCGGGGUAAUGGCCCACCAAGGCGAUGAUCGGUA